GUUACCAUAGUUCAGUGGUAGAAUGGCCCGCACUGUUUGAUUCUCAUAAUCCGACGGCGGGAGGCCGUGGGUUCGAUUCCCGCUGGUGCG